UACGGGGGGGUGCGAGCGUUAUUUGGAAUCAUUGGGCGUAAAGGGCGCGUAGGCGGUCUUUUAAGUCAGAUGUGAAAGCCCUCGGCUUAACCGAGGAAGUGCAUUUGAUACUAAGAGACUUGAGUAUGGGAGAGGGAAGCGGAAUUCCUGGUGUAGCGGUGAAAUGCGUAGAUAUCAGGAGGAACACCGGUGGGGAAGGCGGCUUCCUGGACCAAUACUGACGCUGAGGCGCGAAGGCGUGGGGAGCAAACAGG
rnacentral:rRNA from 1 species